rnacentral:rRNA from 1 species
AUUGAACGCUGGCGGCAGGCCUAACACAUGCAAGUCGAACGGUAACAGGAAGAAGCUUGCUUCUUUGCUGACGAGUGGCGGACGGGUGAGUAAUGUCUGGGAAACUGCCUGAUGGAGGGGGAUAACUACUGGAAACGGUAGCUAAUACCGCAUAACGUCGCAAGACCAAAGAGGGGGACCUUCGGGCCUCUUGCCAUCGGAUGUGCCCAGAUGGGAUUAGCUAGUAGGUGGGGUAACGGCUCACCUAGGCGACGAUCCCUAGCUGGUCUGAGAGGAUGACCAGCCACACUGGAACUAAGCCACGGUCCAGACUCCUACGGGAGGCAGCAGUGGGGAAUAUUGCACAAUGGGCGCAAGCCUGAUGCAGCCAUGCCGCGUGUAUGAAGAAGGCCUUCGGGUUGUAAAGUACUUUCAGCGGGGAGGAAGGGAGUAAAGUUAAUACCUUUGCUCAUUGACGUUACCCGCAGAAGAAGCACCGGCUAACUCCGUG